CCUACGGGGGGCAGCAGUGAGGAAUAUUGGUCAAUGGGCGUAAGCCUGAACCAGCCAAGUCGCGUGAGGGAUGAAGGUUCUAUGGAUCGUAAACCUCUUUUAUAAGGGAAUAAAGUGUGGGACGUGUCCUGUUUUGUAUGUACCUUAUGAAUAAGGAUCGGCUAACUCCGUGCCAGCAGCCUCGGUAAUACGGAGGAUCCGAACGUUCUCCGGAUUUAUUGGGUUUAAAGGGUGCGUAGGCGGCCUUUUAAGUCAGCGGUGAAAGUCUGUGGCUCAACCAUAGAAUUGCCGUUGAAACUGGGAGGCUUGAGUAUGUUUGAGGCAGGCGGAAUGCGUGGUGUAGCGGUGAAAUGCUUAGAUAUCACGCAGAACCCCGAUUGCGAAGGCAGCCUGCCAAGCCAUGACUGACGCUGAUGCACGAAAGCGUGGGGAUCAAACAGGAUUAGAUACCCGAGUAGUC
rnacentral:rRNA from 1 species